AGCAUUACAAGGUAUGGUUUGAUAUCUUUGAAGCAUUACAAGGUAUGGUUUGAUAUCUUUGAAGCAUUACAAGGUAUGGUUUGAUAUCUUUGAAGCAUUACAAGGUAUGGUUUGAUAUCUUUGAAGCAUUACAAGGUAUGGUUUGAUAUUAUCCUAGAUGAUAUCUGAUGUGAUCAGUUGUUAAUAUGAAGUAGGAAAUUUUCUCAAAGGGGUCAUAUUUGUAAAUUUCACAAUUAACAUAAAAAUGUGAAAAUUUCCUUUCACAUAAAUUUGAUCUUCAUGAAAGGUCAUAGUUAAGGACAAGAAAAAAGCGAAAUAAAACCUCAGGAAACGGUUUUUCAUUCGCAAUCAUGAAAUUUAAACCCAGCAAAACCAAACCACUUAACUGAAAUCUAUUUUGAAUUGCAUGUGGUCAGUUUAUUAGGCUAGGUUUAUCUCAUCUGCUUGUGCUGUCUAUUUGACUGUAAACAGCUCUUUAUUCAUAUAGUGCUCUCAUUCUGAACACUUCAAAGUAAAACAAACAGUCAUCUUGAUUAAAAUUCAAAUUGACAAAUUUUCAAUAAAUUACAUGAACAUAUGUAUAAAAAAGUUCUUUCAGUAAAGAAUGUGAACAGUUGCAGAGAAAUGCCAUUCUAUCUCACGGCCAGUAUUCAGUGGAUUAAACUCAUUUGAUUGAUUGAAUUUUGAUGUUAAAUGUCACAAAUUGAUCUAAAUGUGCUUGAGAAAAAAAUAAUAAAAUUAUCCUGCACUUUUUGAACAAAUGUUCAAAAUACAAUGGCACUGGU